rnacentral:rRNA from 1 species
CCUACGGGAGGCUGCAGUGGGGGAUAUUGGACAAUGGGGGAAACCCUGAUCCAGCGACGCCGCGUGAGUGAAGAAGUAUUUCGGUAUGUAAAGCUCUGUCAGCAGGGAAGAAAGAAAUGACGGUACCUGACCAAGAAGCCCCGGCUAACUACGUGCCAGCAGCCGCGGUAAUACGUAGGGGGCAAGCGUUAUCCGGAAUUACUGGGUGUAAAGGGAGCGUAGACGGUGAUGCAAGUCUGGAGUGAAAGGCGGGGGCCCAACCCCCGGACUGCUCUGGAAACUGUGUAACUUGAGUGCAGGAGAGGUAAGCGGAAUUCCUAGUGUAGCGGUGAAAUGCGUAGAUAUUAGGAGGAACACCAGUGGCGAAGGCGGCUUACUGGACUGUAACUGACGUUGAGGCACGAAGGCCAGGGGAGCGAAAGGGAUUAGAUACCCCAGUAGUC